CCUGAUGCAGCCAUGCCGCGUGUGUGAAGAAGGCCUUCGGGUUGUAAAGCACUUUCAGUCGUGAGGAAGGCAUAUGCGUUAAUAGCGCAUGUGUUUGACGUUAGCGACAGAAGAAGCACCGGCUAACUCCGUGCCAGCAGCCGCGGUAAUACGGAGGGUGCGAGCGUUAAUCGGAAUUACUGGGCGUAAAGCGCAUGCAGGCGGCUUGUUAAGCCAGAUGUGAAAGCCCGGGGCUCAACCUCGGAAUAGCAUUUGGAACUGGCAGGCUAGAGUCUUGUAGAGGGGGGUAGAAUUUCAGGUGUAGCGGUGAAAUGCGUAGAGAUCUGAAGGAAUACCGGUGGCGAAGGCGGCCCCCUGGACAAAGACUGACGCUCAGAUGCGAAAGCGUGGGGAGCAAACAGGAUUAGAUACCCUGGUAGUCCACGCCGUAAACGAUGUCUACUUGGAGUUGGUGUCUUGAACACUGGCUUUCGGAGCUAACGCGUUAAGUAGACCGCCUGGG
rnacentral:rRNA from 1 species